CAUGCAUGUCUCAGUACAAACUUAAAUAAAGUGAAACCGCGAAAGGCUCAUUAAAUCAGUUAUGGUUCCUUAGAUUGUACCCACAUUUACUUGGAUAACUGUGGUAAUUCUAGAGCUAAUACAUGCUAAUUGAGCUCCAACCGGAGACGGAAGGAGUGCUUUUAUUAGAACAAGACUAAUCGCUGAUAUUAUAUAUUUUAUAUAUAAUAUUAAACGUAUAUAUUGAUGAAUCUGAAUAACUUAUUGCUGAUCGCACGGUCUAGCACCGGUGACGUAUCUUUCAAAUGUCUGACUUAUCAACUGUCGAUGGUAGGAUCUGCGCCUACCAUGGUAGUAACGGGUAACGGGGAAUCAGGGUUCGAUUCCGGAGAGGGAGCCUGAGAAACGGCUACCACAUCCAAGGAAGGCAGCAGGCGCGCAAAUUACCCACUCCCGGCACGGGGAGGUAGUGACGAAAAAUAACGGUACGGGACUCAUCCGAGGCCCCGUAAUCGGAAUGAGUACACUUUAAAUCUUUUAACGAGUAACAAUUGGAGGGCAAGUCUGGUGCCAGCAGCCGCGGUAAUUCCAGCUCCAAUAGCGUAUAUUAAAGUUGUUGCGGUUAAAAAGCUCGUAGUUGAAUUUGUGUCCCGCGCUGUCGAUUCACCGUACGCGGUGUCAAUCGGCAUGUUCGUGGGACGUCCUGCCGGUGGGCCGACUUACGAUCCUACCGCGGUGCUCUUCAUUGAGUGUCGAGGUGGGCCGGCACGUUUACUUUGAACAAAUUAGAGUGCUUAAAGCAGGCUUAUAAAUGCCUGAAUAUUCUGUGCAUGGAAUAAUGGAACAGGACCUCGGUUCUAUUUUGUUGGUUUUCGGAAUUCCGAGGUAAUGAUUAAUAGGGACAGAUGGGGGCAUUCGUAUUGCGACGUUAGAGGUGAAAUUCUUGGAUCGUCGCAAGACGGACAGAAGCGAAAGCAUUUGCCAAAAAUGUUUUCAUUAAUCAAGAACGAAAGUCAGAGGUUCGAAGGCGAUCAGAUACCGCCCUAGUUCUGACCAUAAACGAUGCCAGCUAGCGAUCCGCCGACGUUCCUCCGAUGACUCGGCGGGCAGCUUCCGGGAAACCAAAGCUUUUGGGUUCCGGGGGAAGUAUGGUUGCAAAGCUGAAACUUAAAGGAAUUGACGGAAGGGCACCACCAGGAGUGGGGCCUGCGGCUUAAUUUGACUCAACACGGGAAACCUCACCAGGCCCAGACACCGGAAGGAUUGACAGAUUGAGAGCUCUUUCUUGAUUCGGUGCGUGGUGGUGCAUGGCCGUUCUUAGUUGGUGGAGCGAUUUGUCUGGUUAAUUCCGUUAACGAACGAGACUCUAGCCUGCUAACUAGGCGUUAUUUACCGGCAUCUGGAAGGCUCAGGUUUUUACUGCCGGCGUACAACUUUAUCUUCUUAGAGGGACAGGCAGUUUUUAACUGCAUGAGACAGAGCAAUAACAGGUCUGUGAUGCCCUUAGAUGUUCUGGGCCGCACGCGCGCCACACUGAAGGAAUCAACGUGUUUUCCCAGGCCGAGUGGUCCGGGUAACCCGCUGAAUCUCCUUCGUGCUAGGGAUUGGGGCUUGCAAUUGUUCCCCAUGAACGAGGAAUUCCCAGUAAGCGCAAGUCAUAAGCUUGUGUUGAUUAAGUCCCUGCCCUUUGUCCACACCGCCCGUCGCUACUACCGAUUGAAUGAUUUAGUGAGGUCUUCGGACUGGUACGCGGUUUACAUUUUCAUAAUGUAACCGAUGUAGCUGGAAAGAUGACCAAACUUGAUUAUUU
rnacentral:rRNA from 1 species